rnacentral:rRNA from 1 species
UACGUAGGGUGCAAGCGUUAAUCGGAAUUACUGGGCGUAAAGGGUGCGCAGGCGGUCCUGCAAGUCAGGCGUGAAAUCCCCGGGCUUAACCUGGGAACUGCAUUGGUGACUGGCAGGCUUUGAGUGUGGCAGAGGGAGGUAGAAUUCCACGUGUAGCAGUGAAAUGCGUAGAGAUGUGGAGGAAUACCGAUGGCGAAGGCAGCCUCCUGGGCCAACACUGACGCUCAUGCACGAAAGCGUGGGGAGCAAACAGG